UACAGAGGGUGCAAGCGUUGUUCGGAAUUAUUGGGCGUAAAGGGCGCGUAGGCGGUGCGGUAAGUCUGUAGUGAAAUCUCCUGGCUCAACUGGGAGCUUGCAGGCGAAACUGCCGUGCUGGAGUGUGGGAGAGGUGCGUGGAAUUCCUGGUGUAGCGGUGAAAUGCGUAGAUAUCAGGAGGAACACCUGUGGCGAAAGCGGCGCACUGGACCACAACUGACGCUGAGGCGCGAAAGCUAGGGGAGCAAACAGG
rnacentral:rRNA from 1 species